rnacentral:lncRNA from 1 species
UAUAAUGCUUGGAUUUCCAUCCCCCUCCUCUCUCUCUCACCCACCUCGUCUUCUACGUCUCCAUCGCUUGCCAGAAGCUCACCCUUGGCCUCACCGCUACAAGCAGAGGAUACUAAUUAUGCUUGUAUUCGUGGUUAUUAGCACAAAAUUGACUGAUACAACGUUCCAACUAAAGAUUUGGUUUUGCUUGUCAGCACAAAGCUUGCCAUUAGUGGGAACCUGAUCUACACAACAGAUGAGAUUAUUAUUCAGCAAUAAAUGAGUCAAAGUGCAUCAGCCUGCCGAACUAGAGAAUCAACUUUAAGAUAGAUUUUACUGAUCAACACCAAUUAUUUCAGCCACCAGCAUAAGAGAGAUAAAGCAAGAAAAAAUUAGAACACUCCAAUCACCUCUUAUAAGCAAUUCAAGAAAACCAAGAGGUUCAAUCGUGAACAAACGAUGGAGAGAGGGGGCGGUAGAGAUUACCAGCAUGAAAGGCGGCUGAGAGAAGCUCCUCGAGUCCCUGAAACCUGAAUUCUGCACUUCGCAAGAAACAAAACCAGAAAGAGAAAGAGAAAUUAAAAAUUUCACACACAGAAGACACGAGAUAGAGAGAGAGAGAGAGAGAGAGAGAGAGCACGCGCACUACAACAGAGUCAAAUCGAAUGCUAUGGAGGACGCCCUGAGGGCGGCAAGCGG